GACGAACGCUGGCGGCGUGCUUAACACAUGCAAGUCGAACGGAAAGGCCCUGCUUUUGUGGGGUGCUCGAGUGGCGAACGGGUGAGUAACACGUGAGUAACCUGCCCUUGACUUUGGGAUAACUUCAGGAAACUGGGGCUAAUACCGGAUAGGAGCUCCUGCUGCAUGGUGGGGGUUGGAAAGUUUCGGCGGUUGGGGAUGGACUCGCGGCUUAUCAGCUUGUUGGUGGGGUAGUGGCUUACCAAGGCUUUGACGGGUAGCCGGCCUGAGAGGGUGACCGGCCACAUUGGGACUGAGAUACGGCCCAGACUCCUACGGGAGGCAGCAGUGGGGAAUAUUGCACAAUGGGCGGAAGCCCGAUGCAGCAACGCCGCGUGCGGGAUGACGGCCUUCGGGUUGUAAACCGCUUUCGCCUGUGACGAAGCGUGAGUGACGGUAAUGGGUAAAGAAGCACCGGCUAACUACGUGCCAGCAGCCGCGGUGAUACGUAGGGUGCGAGCGUUGUCCGGAUUUAUUGGGCGUAAAGGGCUCGUAGGUGGUUGAUCGCGUCGGAAGUGUAAUCUUGGGGCUUAACCCUGAGCGUGCUUUCGAUACGGGUUGACUUGAGGAAGGUAGGGGAGAAUGGAAUUCCUGGUGGAGCGGUGGAAUGCGCAGAUAUCAGGAGGAACACCAGUGGCGAAGGCGGUUCUCUGGGCCUUUCCUGACGCUGAGGAGCGAAAGCGUGGGGAGCGAACAGGCUUAGAUACCCUGGUAGUCCACGCUGUAAACGGUGGGUACUAGGUGUGGGGUCCAUUCCACGGGUUCCGUGCCGUAGCUAACGCUUUAAGUACCCCGCCUGGGGAGUACGGCCGCAAGGCUAAAACUCAAGGGAAUUGACGGGGCCCCGCACAAGCGGCGGAGCAUGCGGAUUAAUUCGAUGCAACGCGUAGAACCUUACCUGGGUUUGACAUGGAUCGGGAGUGCUCAGAGAUGGGUGUGCCUCUUUUGGGGUCGGUUCACAGGUGGUGCAUGGCUGUCGUCAGCUCGUGUCGUGAGAUGUUGGGUUAAGUCCCGCAACGAGCGCAACCCUUGUUCACUGUUGCCAGCACGUUAUGGUGGGGACUCAGUGGAGACCGCCGGGGUCAACUCGGAGGAAGGUGGGGAUGACGUCAAGUCAUCAUGCCCCUUAUGUCCAGGGCUUCACGCAUGCUACAAUGGCUGGUACAGAGAGUGGCGAGCCUGUGAGGGUGAGCGAAUCUCGGAAAGCCGGUCUCAGUUCGGAUUGGGGUCUGCAACUCGACCUCAUGAAGUCGGAGUCGCUAGUAAUCGCAGAUCAGCAACGCUGCGGUGAAUACGUUCCCGGGGCU
rnacentral:rRNA from 1 species